UAAUAUCGGUAUCAGCCAAGUCGCUCCUCAAGGUACGUGAGUCGGCUAUCUUGAUCUUAAAUCUUCUAACUCUGUUUGUCUUAUAAUUUGAUCAUCAUGAUCAUAGAGCUGAAUACUGAGAAGAGUUCGAGCUUGCCAAAGGAGAAGAGAAAAACUUUAUGGAAAAGAGGUGCCACGCCUGCCAUCGGAAGAAGCCUUCGGGUCAAG
rnacentral:lncRNA from 1 species